GAUUCCAAUUGUACAAAAACCUAUCUCGAAGGACCCCAACAUGAAAGAAUCUGAAUCUUCUACAGUGGCAGCCAAAAGAAACUCUUAUAACUAGCUAGUAGAACUAUCCACUUAUCCUCUUUCCUCUAUCUCCCUUCAUCAACAAUAUGGAAAGUUCUCCAUUUUUCAUCACCAUCAGCCUCUCUCUCAUUCUAUCAAUACUUCAUCUAAUUUUUGCCCUAGACCUACCAUGCCGGACCACUUGUGGCUCCCUACAAGUUAAGUACCCUUUCGGCACCGCCUACGGCUGUGGCUCUCCACGGUUCUAUCCUUACAUAACGUGUGCUUCCGGCGGUGAUCAGCUCCUCCUCACCACCCACACGGGCUCUUACCCUAUCACCUCCAUAUCCUACACAGCUACCACCAUAACCAUCAGUCCUCCUUCCAUGUCUACAUGCACUUCCAUGCAUCAAUCACCCAACUUGGGCCUCGAUUGGGCCAGCCCAUUUCAACUUGGCCCAUCAACUUUCCUCCUCCUCUCAUGUCCACCACCAACCUCCUCCCUCACCAUGAAAGGAUCACCUGUCUGUGACGCUUCUUCUUCUUACCUUUGCGCCUCAAUUUACACGUGUCCGUCGGUAAUCGGACUCGGGUUGCCGCUCUUUCCGCCAACGAAUACUUGUUGUGUGUAUGCUCCUGCCAACUUUAACGGUAAAAGUGAACUCGAUCUUCAUAUGCUAAAAUGUUCAGGGUAUGCUUCAAUAAUAUCUCUUCAGGAUUAUCCAACCGACCCUACCCGGUGGGAGUAUGGUGUGGUGCUGAACUAUAGAAGUGGAGCUUUUGAUGAUUUUUACAUGGAUACCAAGUGCAAUACUUGUGAGAGUAGUGGAGGUGUAUGUGGUUAUGCUGCUCCUGGUUACUCAUUUCUAUGUUUGUGCAAUAGUGGAAUCAACACCACUACGGAUUGCAACGCCUACAGCCAAGAUGUGGUGUUUCCUUCGAGCUCUGUUUCUACAUCAUCAUGUAAGUUUCCUCCUCACUUCUGUUGUUCAAAUCGCAUAUUAUUAACCUUAAUUGGUAAGUUUUGUUCCUGGAGAAUAAUCUGAGUGUAAACACACUAUCAACAAAUGACGCCAGGAUGGCCUUUCAAGAAAGUUUAUUUUCUUUCUGUUUUUCUGUUCAAUGGAAACAAAAAAAAUUUAAUAAGAUUGUAGUGUGUUGAUGGAUGGAUAGGCACCCUAUUCUUAUAUGCGGUUUUGCAUCAUUAUGCACUUUUAUUAUUUAUAAAAGAGCUUCUUUUUCCUUUUCUUCUUUUAUCAUUUUAUAGGAUAGGAAAAUGCAAUUGUAAUUUCUCCAUUUGGGUACAAAGGAUCAAUUCUUUUCCUUUUUUUUAUGAGAAAAGAAUAAAUUUGCUAAAGUUAAAGUUGUAAAGAAAAAGGAGAAAGAUAAAGAUACAAGUAAAGCUAAAAGUCGCAAAACAAAAAGAAAAAUGAAAAUACAAGUAAAGCUAAAUUUGAUGUAACUCUUGGUUGAUUAUUAGUCGAUUGCCUGGGAUUUCUGCAGAUUAAUUUAUAAAACAACAAUGAGCUUUACUUAUUUCAAUAUUCUUACAAUACGUAUUUGAUACUCAUAAACAAUUAGUCUAAAAAUAAUUUUACACUUAUUUAUCUUUGAUCGGUUCCUUUAUUUCGGGAAGAUGUGGUUGGGGAUUUUGGCCGGUCUAGUUUCCGUUGGAGCAGCUUGAUGUAUGUAGAGAUUUUUCCCUUUUGUAUUUGUUUGAAGGCUUGUGUUUUCCCCUCUGGUAUGGGUAAUCUCCUUUUCUAGUAAAAUACAUUUUUCUUUGUUAGAAAAAGAUCGAAAUAGGAUUAAAAGUUAGGCUCCGUUUGUCGAACUUGAAAUAACAAACAGUAGCAGAAUAUAGGAACGAGCAUCUUAGGCCUGUAUAAGAACAUUAUAGCUAUCCCAACAACUAACAGAUCAACAAGGUGCAGAACCUUAGUUUUUAAAUUAAAGAUAAUGACUCAGGCUUCUGGAUUUUCUCUUUA